rnacentral:rRNA from 1 species
UGUGACUCGUCACACUAUCAUUAACUGAAUCCAUAGGUUAAUGAGGCGAACCGGGGGAACUGAAACAUCUAAGUACCCCGAGGAAAAGAAAUCAACCGAGAUUCCCCCAGUAGCGGCGAGCGAACGGGGAGGAGCCCAGAGCCUGAAUCAGCAUGUGUGUUAGUGGAAGCGUCUGGAAAGGCGCGCGAUACAGGGUGACAGCCCCGUACACAAAAGCGCAUGUGCUGUGAGCUCGAUGAGUAGGGCGGGACACGUGGUAUCCUGUCUGAAUAUGGGGGGACCAUCCUCCAAGGCUAAAUACUCCUGACUGACCGAUAGUGAACCAGUACCGUGAGGGAAAGGCGAAAAGAACCCCGGCGAGGGGAGUGAAAAAGAACCUGAAACCGUGUACGUACAAGCAGUGGGAGCACCCUUUGGGGUGUGACUGCGU